rnacentral:lncRNA from 1 species
UGAAGCUUAGCUAUUUUUGAAGCAUUAUAUCAUAAUAGCUUUAGAAUAUUAUAUUUUUUGGCCAGCCUUUAUCAGAAUAAUUUAUGACAUGGAAUCACUUCUCUGAGCUUUCACCUUUUGUUUGAUUCUUAACAAUAAAGGUUACAUUCAUUGUGCUCUGUUGCAAUUCCAGGAUGUUCACAGAUUCCUGCAAAAGGUUGAGGAUCAUGAAGGGUUCUGAUGCAAUUGGACUCGGUAAGUUCAGGCAAACCGAAAUCCUGAAUAACCUACAGUCCGAACUACUGAAGGGUUCUGAUGCAAUUGGACUCGGUAAGUUCAGGCAAACCGAAAUCCUGAAUAACCUACAGUCCGAACUACAAACUUCGCAAUCUGUAGUGAUGCUUCCAAAAUGCUGAUAUUCAAUUUCACUUCUAUUUUGCAAAUCCAUAAAUUUUCAUUUUGUAUUUGUAACAUGGUGAUUUUUUAGUAGUCAUCUAUUCCUUAAUUGAAGUCCGUCACUUUUCAGUUCAAAUUCACUACUACACAAACUAUCACUAAACAAAUCUUAAUCUGUGACCCUGCAG